CCCAGGGGGCAGCUACCAUGCAGUCGAGCGAGAACUUCGGUUCUAGCGGCGGACGGGUUAGUAACGCGUGGGAACGUGCCCUUCACUACGGAAUAGUCCCGGGAAACUGGGUUUAAUACCGUAUACGCCCUUCGGGGGAAAGAAUUUCGGUGAAGGAUCGGCCCGCGUUAGAUUAGAUAGUUGGUGGGGUAACGGCCUACCAAGUCUACGAUCUAUAGCUGGUUUUAGAGGAUGAUCAGCAACACUGGGACUGAGACACGGCCCAGACUCCUACGGGAGGCAGCAGUGGGGAAUCUUAGACAAUGGGCGCAAGCCUGAUCUAGCCAUGCCGCGUGAGUGAUGAAGGCCUUAGGGUCGUAAAGCUCUUUCGCCAGGGAUGAUAAUGACAGUACCUGGUAAAGAAACCCCGGCUAACUCCGUGCCAGCAGCCGCGGUAAUACGGAGGGGGUUAGCGUUGUUCGGAAUUACUGGGCGUAAAGCGCGCGUAGGCGGAUUGGAAAGUUGGGGGUGAAAUCCCAGGGCUCAACCCUGGAACUGCCUCCAAAACUAUCAGUCUAGAGUUCGAGAGAGGUGAGUGGAACUCCGAGUGUAGAGGUGAAAUUCGUAGAUAUUCGGAAGAACACCAGUGGCGAAGGCGGCUCACUGGCUCGAUACUGACGCUGAGGUGCGAAAGUGUGGGGAGCAAACAGGAUUAGAUACCCUGGUAGUCC
rnacentral:rRNA from 1 species